rnacentral:rRNA from 1 species
UACGAAGGGGCUAGCGUUGCUCGGAAUGACUGGGCGUAAAGGCGCGUAGGCGGCUUGCACCGUCAGAUGUGAAAUUCCUGGGCUUAACCUGGGGGCUGCAUUUGAUACGUGUGGGCUUGAGUGCGGAAGAGGGUCGUGGAAUUCCCAGUGUAGAGGUGAAAUUCGUAGAUAUUAGGGAAGAACACCGGUGGCGAAGGCGGCGACCUGGUCCGUGACUGACGCUGAGG